CCUGUAGAUGAUAUCCGAGGUCACGGAGGAGCUAUCUUAUGAGGAGCGACCUAUAGCCAUAUUGAAUCGUCAGGUAAAAAGGUUGCGGAACAAAGAUAUGGCUUCUGUUAAAGUGCUAUGGCGGAAUAAUAACCGAGAGGAAGUGACCUGGGAAGCUGAGGAGCAGAUGAAGAAGAAGUAUCCUCAUUUAUUUUCAGAGCCUACAGAUCGUGGGCAGCCCGAAUCAUAGUUUGGACUUAGCUUGAGUUGGGUCAUAUUGGAGAGCGUUUGAGGUACAGACGCACAGUUUGGUGAUCCACCUGUUUAGGACACCCUCUUCUGCGAUUCGGAGUGCUCCUCUCAUUCCGGAGCUUAUAUUUUUGGUAUAUAUUCGUCUGUUGCAUUUGUAUAUAUUUGUUCAUGGGUACGGCGGGGCCCUGUCCCGUCAUAUGAUUCUGUCUGUCUGUUUAGAGGUCUG